GGCGCCGUCGUCCAACGGCAGGACCUGGGCCCCAUAAGCCUAUGACGGUGGUUCGACUCCACCCGGCGCAA
rnacentral:tRNA from 1 species